rnacentral:rRNA from 1 species
CAGCCGCCGCGGUAAUACGUAGGUGGCAAGCGUUGUCCGGAAUUAUUGGGCGUAAAGGGCUCGCAGGCGGUUUCUUAAGUCUGAUGUGAAAGCCCCCGGCUCAACCGGGGAGGGUCAUUGGAAACUGGGAAACUUGAGUGCAGAAGAGGAGAGUGGAAUUCCACGUGUAGCGGUGAAAUGCGUAGAGAUGUGGAGGAACACCAGUGGCGAAGGCGACUCUCUGGUCUGUAACUGACGCUGAGGAGCGAAAGCGUGGGGAGCGAACAGGAUUAGAUACCCCAGUAGUCCCUGUCUCUUAUAC